CGGAGGGUGCAAGCGUUAUCCGGAUUCACUGGGUUUAAAGGGUGCGUAGGUGGGCUAGUAAGUCCGUGGUGAAAUCCCUGAGCUUAACUUGGGAACUGCCAUUGAUACUAUUAGUCUUGAAUAUCGUGGAGGUAAGCGGAAUAUGUCAUGUAGCGGUGAAAUGCUUAGAUAUGACAUAGAACACCAAUUGCGAAGGCAGCUUGCUACACGGUCAUUGACACUGAGGCACGAAAGCGUGGGGAGCAAACAGGAUUAGAUACCCUGGUAGUCCACGCCCUAAACUAUGGAUACUCGACAUCAGCGAUACACUGUUGGUGUCUGAGCGAAAGCAUUAAGUAUCCCACCUGGGAAGUACGAUCGCAAGAUUG
rnacentral:rRNA from 1 species